rnacentral:lncRNA from 1 species
CCGGUUUUACUAAUUGCAUAGUGCCAUAGUAACAAGCUAGGUAUUUUUUUUUGGGUGCAAUGCUAUCGUACAAUCUUUACUUGUUAGGAGGCAAUACAUCACAUAAAUCUGAACCAUUGAUUCUUUAACUUUUUUUUAAUUAAUUAAUUAAUCUAGGAAAAGGGGAAAACAUUGUCAAAUCCUAUUGUCACAAAAUGAGAAUUUGGAUAACGGCACCUUACUCCACGAUAGUGCGGAUCAGGCGCAAGGCCACGCGGAUCUCUUCCUCCACGGCGGAUCAACCAUCUUCGCCCUCUCUCCCUCCCAUUCUCCGGCAGAUCCGAUGAAUAACGGCUGUGGAGGGCGCGCCGGCAAUGGAGGCAGCAAUCCUUGGAGAGGAGGCGGUUCCAGUGGGGGUCAUACUAGAUCCGGCUCGAUAUGCACCACCUCCACCAGAUCCGGCUGUAGGGGCUCGAUCGAGAGCACAUGCAGGUGCGGAUCCGCCGGCGGCGACGUGUCCUAUGCCGGAGUGGUGGUGGAUUCAGGAUGGCGGCGGCGUGGCUAGGCUCAACAUCGGGCCCGUAUGGGCUGGUGUUGGGCUCAACUGUUUUAUUUUUUAUUAUUUUAAUUUAAUUUAUAGAGGCAGACAAAGCAACCGCCUUUGUAUGUCAUGGAUUAACCGUGACCUUUGAUUAGAGGCAGUUGGAUUGCCUGCCUCCAUUAAUUGUUUUUAUCCGCCUCUAAUAAGAUUUUUGUAGUAGUGUUAAUCAUAUCAUAUUAGUGGCUAG